ensembl:lncRNA
GUUUCAAUCCGGGAUUUUUUUUUCCCUUUAAAAAGGUGGGGGGGGUGGGGACAGUUAAGGCAGACCUAAUAUAUGAAGGGAAUUCGAGUUGAUAAGUGUGUUUGAAGUUGGAAGUGUGAAACCCCACCAGUUGUGUCUGAGCCUAGGGGAAGGCCUUGUUUGUGGCUAGAAGUCCUUUGGAAGUCUUUCCUCGUUUGACACACCCGGUUUUCCCAUGGACUCGCUGUGUGGCCUUGGAUAACAUACCUGACCUCUCUGUUUCUGAGUUUUCUCACCUUGAAAACUGGGCGAUGGCUGCCCUCAACGCUUUCCGAGGAUAUUGUGGGGAAGAGUGAGAUCAUGUCUGCGAGAGGGCAGAGGGAGCAAGCUUUGUCGGUGGUAAUGAACUUCUGGGAGCUCUGGGACUCGUUCAGUCACAUUCACCUCCAGGGCCCUCUCGAUUCUGACCUGCCCGGACCGCGAGAUCCCCGCGCUUUGAGAUUGGCGUUUGGCACCGGGGACAGGCAAGCUAUUGUUGCCUUCGGGGGUUAGCCCUUCACCUGAUUCCGCGGUCCCGGCUGCCUGCCUAGUCGCCCUUCCCACUCUCUCGCUUCCUCUCCCCCUUCCCCCCAAUCUCCUAGACUGGGUUCUGCGCCCAGGCCCCGUGGCGCCCAUCCCUUCCCUACCCUUCGGGCCCGGCAGGGGAAGUCUCCGGUCCCAGGAGAACUGGGGCUGUCGGGGCCGAGUCAGUGUGAAGCGUAAAACCGCGGAGCUUUAUUUGUUAGAGCCAGCCCUGCCUGCUCUCAGGGCCCUCUCUCGCUUCUCUCCUGAGGGAAGAUUGAGUCAGCUUGGGUCCUGGGUGCUAGGAAGUGGAGAAAAAAUGAAGCAAGCGGGAGACCUGCGGCUCAGAGUGAGCAGGUGUGGACCGGGAGCGCCUCGUUCCUGCAGCCCUGCGAGCUCGGAACCUGGCUAGCCGGGAGGCUGCGGCCGGCGGCCGGCGACUUAGCCCCGGCUGCCUGCGCACGGGCUUCGGGACCCCGAGUCCUGCGUCCCUGGCUGCGGGUUCUCUCCCCGAUGCGCUGAGCCAAUCUCCGCCGCGACCGAGGGCAAGCAAGCCUGCGCCUGGCGCCCGGACCGACCCGGGGCUCGCGGCUGAGCUGCUUUGGCAGAGGCAAAGCAGGCGCCUAGCCCAAGCCCGCCCCGUCGGGGCUGAGGAACUGGACUCUAAGGAAGGGAUCCUGGGGACUGACAUCUUUUUCCUGAUCCUGGAGACAGGAGGAGGCCAGAAGUCCUUACUGAAUGUGUGUGAGUGAGUGUGAGUGAGUGUGUGUGUGUGUGUGUGUGUGUGUGUGUGUGUGUGAUGGGGUGAAGGAAAGUUGGUGGGGCUGGCAUUGCCUAUUUCUUUUUUUUCCUCUCGGUAAGUCUGUAACGAAUCCGAGUGCUGAUUCUCUAGUUGCAUUCAAAAUAUUUCUCCCUAAUCCCGAAGGAUUUCGACGUGUAGAAGGGUAGACUUUGUGUGCGUGUGUGUGUCCAUUCCUCUGUGUGCGCGCGCGCGUCUGUGGAUCAGUGUAUUCGUGUUCCAGUCCCCGACCUCCCCCAACACACACACACACACACACACACACACACACACACACACACACACACACAUACGCAAGCCCCGGGGAUCAGCAACUUCUAAGCCUAAAAGUCUCAACAAGAUUGACCCGGGUGCACCCACUAGUCCCUACCCGCUCUCAAUUUUUAAGUCCCUUUUGGCGAAAUCCUAAAACUCGGUCCCGGUCCAUACCCUCCUUUCUCCCUCCCCUCCAUCGCACCCUGAAGACUUUUCCUUCUGAGUCUCCUUUCCUGGGCAGGUGAAGCCCGGUCUGCCCACCCGCCAGAGAAAGAACAAAUGCCAGGAAACACUGAGCCGCCCGAUAACCGAGAUUUCCUUAACUUUCGAAAGUUCCUUUCUUGGAUCGGAAGAAGAAAAAAGAAAAAGGAGAGAAAAAAAAAAAAGGAUAAAGGAGACCCUAGUUGUUUCUGUUUUUCUCUGCUUGUCACCGGGAUGCUGCCCCUGAUUUCUUGGGCAAGAUUGAGUCAAAACCUAAUAAAUUGUAUUUAGAGCUAUUUGAAAUAAAUUUAAAAAAAAACAC